rnacentral:lncRNA from 1 species
ACGAGCAACAAACCAGCACCCACGCACGUUCGAAGCAAAACGCAGCAGCAGCGGCGUAACAGAAAAACCACGAGCGACGCCGCGAGAACUACUAAAAUGCCAAGAAACACACGCACGCACACACAGAAACACCGCGAAGCUCGCGGCGAGCAACUGCAAAAGGUCGCGAGAGCUUACCCCAGAACUCCAUCGGAAGGGCCAUCGAGAGCUUUCUAGCUCGAAGAGAGGAGGCGAGGCGAGGCGAGGCGAGGCGAGGCGAGGAGAGGAAGCUCUGCCGGGCGCCAAAAGCUAGCUAGAGAGAGAUCGAGGGUUCAGGGAGGAAGAGCGAGGCGAGGG